AUACGUAGGGUGCGAGCGUUGUCCGGAAUUACUGGGCGUAAAGAGCUCGUAGGUGGUUUGUCGCGUCGUCUGUGAAAUUCCGGGGCUUAACUCCGGGCGUGCAGGCGAUACGGGCAUAACUUGAGUACUGUAGGGGAGACUGGAAUUCCUGGUGUAGCGGUGAAAUGCGCAGAUAUCAGGAGGAACACCGGUGGCGAAGGGGGGUCUCUGGGCAGUAACUGACGCUGAGGAGCGAAAGCAUGGGUAGCGAACAGGAUUAGAUACCCUGGUAGUCCAUGCCGUAAACGGUGGGCGCUAGGUGUAGGGGUCUUCCACGACUUCUGUGCCGUAGCUAACGCAUUAAGCGCCCCGCCUGGGGAGUACGGCCGCAAGGCUAAAACUUAAAGGAAUUGACGGGG
rnacentral:rRNA from 1 species